rnacentral:tRNA from 1 species
UAGUUCAGUUGGUAGAGCAUGGUGCUUGUAACACCAGUAUAGUGGGUUUGAUUCCCGU